rnacentral:tRNA from 1 species
GCCUGGGUGGCUCAGUCACGUAAGCAUCUGACUUCAGCUCAGGUCAUGAUCUCAUGGUUUGUGGGUUCAAGCCCCAUUUUGGGCU